rnacentral:rRNA from 1 species
UCUUCCCCCUGGCGGCGUGCCUAAUACAUGCAAGUCGAGCGAACAGACGAGGAGCUUGCUCCUCUGACGUUAGCGGCGGACGGGUGAGUAACACGUGGAUAACCUACCUAUAAGACUGGGAUAACUUCGGGAAACCGGAGCUAAUACCGGAUAAUAUAUUGAACCGCAUGGUUCAAUAGUGAAAGACGGUUUUGCUGUCACUUAUAGAUGGAUCCGCGCCGCAUUAGCUAGUUGGUAAGGUAACGGCUUACCAAGGCAACGAUGCGUAGCCGACCUGAGAGGGUGAUCGGCCACACUGGAACUGAGCCACGGUCGAGACUCCUACGGGAGGCACCAGUAGGGAAUCUUCCGCAAUGGGCGAAAGCCUGACGGAGCAACGCCGCGUGAGUGAUGAAGGUUUUAGGAUCGUAAAACUCUGUUAUUAGGGAAGAACAAAUGUGUAAGUAACUAUGCACGUCUUGACGGUACCUAAUCAGAAAGCCACGGCUAACUACGUG